AUGGCUGACCAAGCCAAGCUUUCCCACCACAACCCCUAUAGGGACCAUGUGUUCCAUCGUGUCAUCAUCUCGGCACUCGUCCUGCUGCUGUCCUGCACGGCGGCGACCAGUGACCGGCAGCCACCACUGAUCUCGCAGCUCGCCAAGGACCCCGAGACCUCCCUCUAUACCAUCUCCGUCAAGGCCGACAAGUCGCCGCUCCUCCUCGACCUCGCCGGCUCGCUCGUCUGGUUGACGUGCCCGCCCUCGUCGGCGCACAGCACGGUGCCGUGCGAAUCCGACACGUGCGCCGUGGCCAAACAGCAGUCCUCGCGUCGCUGCCGGUACGUGGACGGCGGCCGGUUCUGGGAGAACCGCAAGCCGGGGUCGUCGUGGUGCGCUUGCGCUGCCCGCCCGCUCAACCCGGUCACCGGCGAGUGCUCCACCGGCGAUCUCACGAGCCUCACCAUGAAGGUCAACACCACCAACGGCACCAUGGAGCUGCGCCCGGAGGAGUCGUUCGCCGUCGUCGGCGCGUGCGCGCCGGGCCGCCUACUGAGUUCGCUCCCCGCAGGCGCCGCCGGCGUCGCGGGGCUCUCCCGGCGCUCGCUCUCGCUGCCGUCCCAGCUCGCGGCUCAGCGCGGCUUCGGACGCAAGUUCUCCCUGUGCCUCCCCGCCUUCGCGACCUUCGGUGACACGCCGGUGUACCUGCCCACGCCGGAGCGAGGCUUCAUCGACUACACGACCUCCAUCCCGUACACCCCGCUCCUGACAAACCCGGCGAACGCCGGCGGAUACUACAUCCCCGUCAAGGGCAUCUCCGCGUCGUGGCACGGGGCGAACGCGGCGGCGGCCCUGCCCCCCGGCGCGCUCGACAUUGACGUCCGCACGGGCCGCGGCGGCGUCGUGCUGAGCACGGCCACGCCGUACACGGUCAUGCGGCCCGAUGUGUUCCGCGCUUUCGCCAAGGCCUUCGACCACGCCAUAAUAAGAGGGAAGGUGAGCUUCAUGGAAAGGGUGCCGGCGACGAAGCCGUUCGAGCUGUGCUACCACGGCGCGUUCCCGAUGCUGAAGCGAGCUGGCCUCGACAUGCCUUACAUUAAGCUUGAGCUGGGCGACGGCGCCACGCGCAACUGGACACUGUUCAACGAUAACUACAUGGUGCCUGUGGACGGGGCGAUGUGCGUGGGGAUCCUGCCGAUGGGGCCCGGCGGCAUGCCGGUUGACGGCGAGCCGGCGGUGGUGAUCGGCGGGAAACAGCUGGAGAACAACCUGCUGGUGUUCGAUCUGGAGAAACAGGUGCUCGGGUUCAGCAUGCUGCUGAGCGUCCAAUUGUCCGGCUGUCGAAGCUCCUAUUUCUUCAGAAACUAA
rnacentral:rRNA from 1 species